rnacentral:rRNA from 1 species
UCCUACGGGGCGCAGCAGUAGGGAAUCUUCCACAAUGGACGAAAGUCUGAUGGAGCAACGCCGCGUGAGUGAAGAAGGGUUUCGGCUCGUAAAGCUCUGUUGGUAGCGGAGAAAGAUAGAGGUAGUAACUGGCCUUUUUUUGACGGUAAUUACUUAGAAAGUCACGGCUAACUACGUGCCAGCAGCCGCGGUAAUACGUAGGGGGCAAGCGUUGUCCGGAUUUAUUGGGCGUAAAGUGAGUGCAGGCGGUUCAAUAAAGCUGAUGUG